CUUUAUUUUUAUUUACGUACUGUGCGCGUCUGAAAACAAUAAAACGUUGCAUUUUUCGGUUCAGUUUAGCGAUUCGCUGCAAUUUUGGUCCCUGGAAACGAUUUUCACUGGAACCACCCGGUAGGUGUUAAUUUCGGCUUCACUAAAGUGACUGCCGUAUUUGUCGACCGGUCAAUCCGUGUCUGUUUACUGCUGCAAACAUGGUCGACUGCGCAACAUUUAAUAGUACCAACGAGUGAUUGAUCAAAUUAUAUUUAAAACAAUCGGAGCUGCCCGGAGCUCAACAGGGUUGGCAAAUGUAUUGAGUUUACACCAUGAGGAAGCCGGUUCUGGAAACAAGAGCUCAAACAUAUUCUCAGCCCCACCUGGCAUGUACUCGAUUUUCCACAGCGUUGCAGUCCUAGAAUUGAUUAGGUGAAAACUGAACUUUAUUUCCAAAAGCCACCCGUGGGGAAUAAUGAAAUAGGAAAAGUGUACGGUGUAGGAAAACCUGCUGAUCCAUCGGCACUGGCUGCACUGUGGUAUGGACCGGGCGAGAUGGCCGAGAUGUUACCUUGGGUUAGCAAAAUAAUCAUUUGAUAUACUGGCGGUUUUCGAUGCCGGUAACCGAGUAAUGGGUUUACGUUAAAGUCGUGCCAAAUCAUGUUCCUGAACAAACUAUAUUCUUAUUUUGUUCAAUUUAAUCAACUGCAAGAGAAAUAAGCAUUCUUUAAUCUGGGAAGGGUAAUGGCAGAUG